AUGCAUCACAUGAGGAAGGACAAGUUCCGUCAGUACUUUGGAGAAGCUCUAGAUUUGGUGGAGCAGUUUGGUAUUGAACAUGUGAUCUCCUUUCACCUUGACUAUGACCCUGAGCUUGUUUGUCAGUUCUUUGCCUCAGUUUACUUUCACCCUGAUGAGGAGCGGAGGAUGACCUGGAUGACCAAUGGACGUAAGUUGACUGCUACCUGGAAGGAGUUCAUGGAUUUGCUACAUGUUCCUGAUGACGGGCUCGACACUCCCGUGGGUGUUCGCCCCCAUGCUAAUCCUGAGUCUGCUAACAAGGACAAGCUUCAGCCAUUCUAUGUUGAGAAGGCGCUUCCCAAUGGCAAUAUAGGGUGGGUGCUCAACUCCUUUCUGGAUAUCAUGUAUCGCAUCUUUCGCAACUCUUUGUUCGCAUUGGUGACAAGGACAAGGUUCAUGCCUAUAUGGUGGAUAUGA
rnacentral:rRNA from 1 species